UCCCAGGACCGCCUCCUGGAUGCCACAUUACAUUCAGUUGUCAUUUCUCCAUAGGCUCCUCUGAUUCACGACAAUUCCUCCAUCUUUCCUUGAUUUUGAUGAUCUCAGCAGUUUGGAGGAUUACUGGGCAGAGCACAUCACAAGAAGGACCCACCUUCUUAUGCGCCUGCGGGACCAUACGUUGCCUGAGUGAAUGCCACUGUCCUCGCCCUGAGGUCCGUAAGAUGCUACUGGAGAAUGCCAGGCUCAGGUGGGAGGUCCCUCACUGCCUUCCCAGCGUCUUCUUCUCCCCUGUCCUAAAGGCAGGCCGCCCUCAUUCUCCUCUAGAUCAUCCAUCGGGCCCACAGAGCCUCUUCAACCACUGAGACCAGUUAUUUUGCAAACCCCACUCCUGUGAAGCUCUUGGAUGCUUUCCCUCCUGAGAGUAGAAAAGCAGAGCUCAACUCCCUCCCCAAGCUGCAGAUGGCUCAAAUCCUUCAGAAAAGGCAUGACCAAGCGCCAUAAGGAUGGCAGAGCCCAUCAAAGAGACCACAGAGCAGCCAGCCGCAUCACUUUAUUCCAUGGUGCAUCUGGCCCCCCUUCUUCAUUGGUGCCCCCAGCCACGUUGUGGGAGCCCCUUCUGCUGACUCCCAAGAGCCCACUGAGUGCAUCUCUUCCAGACUCUCUUUGGUGAUGUGAUGUCAGGAGUGAUUACACCAGAGCAAUUAGCAAGCACUACAACCCAGGACUUCUCUCCCCAGAGCUGGAAGCUAAACAUAUUCGGUUUCCCACCAUGACAAAUUGGCACCAUGAGCCCUCUCCAAAAAUCCAAAUUGAUGGGGGCUCCCUUCUCCUCAAAUGCUUCACAGAAAACCUCUUCUUUUUAUAAUUCCACUGGGGCACCUGGGUGGCUCAGUCAUUCUGGGUGGCUCGUGCCUUCUGCUCAGGUC